GAUGAAGAACGUAGCGAAAUGCGAUAAGUAAUGUGAAUUGCAGAAUUCAGUGAAUCAUCGAAUCUUUGAACGCACAUUGCGCCCCUUGGUAUUCCGAGGGGCAUGCCUGUUCGAGCGUCAUUAUAACCCCUCAAGCUCAGCUUGGUGUUGGGGCCGGCUGCACUGGCAGCCCUUAAAAUCAGUGGCGGCGCCAUCUGGCUCUAAGCGUAGUAAUUCUUCUCGCUAUGGAGUCCUGGUGGAUGCUUGCCAUCAACCCCCAAUUUUUCUAUGGUUGACCUCGGAUCAGGUAGGGAUACCCGCUGAACUUAAGCAUAUCAAUAAGCGGAGGA
rnacentral:misc_RNA from 1 species